GGCUUGCAGCACGAUACAGACAAGUAAUAAUCUCACCUUGUACUGUACAUUGUGCCUUGUUGGUGGUCCACAUGUAUUUCGUGGAAGAGUUCCUAAAUGGAAGAUGAAAAUACAGGAAUGAAUUGAUAAGAUCUAAACAUUACAUGCUUGAUGCGCAACAGUCAACGUCAUGGAUAACCAGUUAUCCUCACAGUUCCCGCGGAUAAGUUCACCAGAUCCAUUUCAUAUGGAGGAGUUCGACACA